rfam:Mus musculus chromosome 12, GRC primary reference assembly.
GGAGGGGUGGCUCAGCAGUUAAGAGUACUGGAUGUCCUUCCAGAGGUCCUGAGUUCAAUUCCCAGCACCCACA